rnacentral:tRNA from 1 species
CAUUAAAUGACUGAUUAAGUUUUGAUCUUUUAAAUCAAAUAUAAUAGAUUUAUUUAUUCUAUUUUUAAUGA